ACGUCAUUAUAUUUCACACGCAUUUGAGAGGUUUUUUUUUUGUGAACCUACGAAUUUUUCCCAUCGAGAUAUCCUUAAUUUUUUGGAUCUUUUUAGAACAGGACACGCUUUGAAAUAUAAUACGAAUAUGUGGAUGUUGGAUGUUGUAUGUAUAUAAUAUAUAUAUAUAUAUUUGUGAUUAAAAACGUACGAUAAGGUACGAUGCUGCUGGUUAUAUUAUAGUGCUUGAUAAAUAUGCUCCAUAAGGUUAUACAUCAUGACAUCAUGACAUAAUUAGUUAUUAAUGCCACGAAAAAAUUUCUAAGACGAUGGCGCAUUUAUAUAUUCACGUACAUUAAUUCUGAAACCGCUCUUAUUAUACAUGAACCCCGUAAACAAAAUGAAAAGAAAAAAAAAAUAACGACAUUUUCGUCACUGACAAUAUUGAAUCACGUUCACAUACCUACGUAUACGAUCGUUUGGAAAAGUUACAAGUACAAAAAAAAAAAAAAAAAAAAAAACACAUAACGAAUUCACACAUUUAUUCGAAGAUACACAUGUAGAUAAAAUAUACGAUUGUCGCGUUCACAUAUCCCUGUUUCAAUGGGGGUGAAAAAUUAACGGGUCGAAAUAUAGGCGUACGAUAACGCGAGGUGAUUUCAACGCGUGUUGGAACUGCAUUAAAAGAAAAAAUCAGAAAAAGAGAGACGGAAAAUAAUUUCUCAACGAUAACCGAUGUGCGGGAGUAAUUAUAGCAGCUCUUGGUAUUUAUUUUCCCUUUAAUUAAAUGUAAUAUACAUGCAUAAAUCAUUUACCUGUGUACCCACAAGAUCAAUGUGUGCCGUGCGUGCUUUGAAUAUCUGCAAUAUCUGUUAUAUUGCAACGAAACUCGUCAUCGCCAUAGGUAGCAUCGUACAGCACCGAAAAAAAGUACUAUACGAUGCUUGGAAUGUACUAUGCAUUUACAAUGUACAGUCCAUAAUUGAAAGUAUUCGAUGCAGCCAAUAUUUUGCCAGUGUACAUACUAUAGGUAGAUGUAUGGAUGCGAAAUUAUUUAAUCUGACGUCCGCAUCAGAGCGCGAUGCAGUUCAAUUAAUUAAAACAUCUAGCCGCAGAAAAAAAACGGGACAAAACCGUAUAGACAUAUCGAUAGAACAAAUAAAUGACCAAUGGAAUGUAUAUAAUUUCUUCUUUUUACAUUUCAAACGUAUACCAAACGCAAUGCCGAGACACGCCGAUACGAUAUGGGAUGCGGGGACAUAAUCGAAUUAAGGAUUGAUUAAUCGCGGAAUUAUAAAGAAGACUGAGAACACACAGGUGCUUUUUCAUCUGAAAUCAUCUUCAACGAGGGUUGAAUUAUACAUCGCGCGCAUCCUGCGGAUGUCCUAUCCGAAGUCAACAAGUCAACUAAAACGUCUUUCGUUAACUUUGCAAUUAUUGUGUCUAUGAAGUUUCCAUCCGUCGAGCUGGGUUAUCUGAAAAUUGCCGGAGUGGGCAGAGGGCAACUUGGGUCAACACCAGAAUCGAAGUAAACAGCCUAUCUCGUACGUUUCUCGGCGUUCUCUACGAGGCCGCGAGAGUUCUUUAAAAAUUAUUGCCACCCCCGGAUAACGAGGAGAACUGCGAGACAGCAGUUUAUACUUAUUAGUUUAUACUUAUAUACGCCCGUCGUAUGAAAGCAAUUAAAAAUAACCAUUACAUAAAUUCACUGUAUCAAAUAUAUGUAGGUAUAUAUUAUACUGUAUUAUAUUUAUAAAUUAUAUUCAGCUGCUGCUUAUAAUUAUUUGUUCUCUCAUUAUAAUAUUACGCUGAUGACGCGUAUGCAGCUAGAAGAAUUAAUUAUGUCCAAUGAUUUUUUAAAUCCCAUCAUUUCAUUCCGGGCAUAAUCAUUAAUAAUACCUACUGAUUUUUAUUUAUUUUCGGAACCAUUAAAAUAGUCGAUCCACAACGUAAGAAAAAUUGCUUCUGCAAUGAGUACAAAAAGUAAGAGACUGCAUACGUACGUACGAAUAAAGGUGAGAGCUGCGAUAUCGGAUUAAAAAAAAAUGGCAAAAAGUGACAAAUCGCACACUUUUAGUUCUCCGCAAUGCAUAACGUAACCCCGGCGACCUUUCACGCGAAACCGUUAUUAUUAGUCAAACAAACAUUUACAAAUAUAUAACAUUCAUGUAAAAUAGUAUUUUACUAUUCGAAUGUCAAAAAUACAAAUUUUCAAACUAAGAACAAAACUUCAUAUGUGUUUCGCACAAUCGCACGUGUAUGCGAGUGAAUUGUGAGGCUUUUUUUCUCCUCGAACAGUAUACGUGAAGAAUUUCACGGCCUUUUCGAAAAAGUCAGGCAAAACAUAAGU
rnacentral:lncRNA from 1 species